rnacentral:rRNA from 1 species
UGUAUAAUGGGUCAGCGACUUAUAUUCUGUAGCAAGGUUAACCGAAUAGGGGAGCCGAAGGGAAACCGAGUCUUAACUGGGCGUUAAGUUGCAGGGUAUAGACCCGAAACCCGGUGAUCUAGCCAUGGGCAGGUUGAAGGUUGGGUAACACUAACUGGAGGACCGAACCGACUAAUGUUGAAAAAUUAGCGGAUGACUUGUGGCUGGGGGUGAAAGGCCAAUCAAACCGGGAGAUAGCUGGUUCUCCCCGAAAGCUAUUUAGGUAGCGCCUCGUGAAUUCAUCUCCGGGGGUAGAGCACUGUUUCGGCAAGGGGGUCAUCCCGACUUACCAACCCGAUGCAAACUGCGAAUACCGGAGAAUGUUAUCACGGGAGACACACGGCGGGUGCUAACGUCCGUCGUGAAGAGGGAAACAACCCAGACCGCCAGCUAAGGUCCCAAAGUCAUGGUUAAGUGGGAAACGAUGUGGGAAGGCCCAGACAGCCAGGAUGUUGGCUUAGAAGCAGCCAUCAUUUAAAGAAAGCGUAAUAGCUCACUGGUCGAGUCGGCCUGCGCGGAAGAUGUAACGGGGCUAAACCAUGCACCGAAGCUGCGGCAGCGACGCUUAUGCGUUGUUGGAUAGGGGAGCGUUCUGUAAGCCUGCGAAGGUGUGCUGUGAGGCAUGCUGGAGGUAUCAGAAGUGCGAAUGCUGACAUAAGUAACGAUAAAGCGGGUGAAAAGCCCGCUCGCCGGAAGACCAAGGGUUCCUGUCCAACGUUAAUCGGGGCAGGGUGAGUCGACCCCUAAGGCGAGGCCGAAAGGCGUAGUCGAUGGGAAACAGGUUAAUAUUCCUGUACUUGGUGUUACUGCGAAGGGGGGACGGAGAAGGCUAUGUUGGCCGGGCGACGGUUGUCCCGGUUUAAGCGUGUAGGCUGGUUUUCCAGGCAAAUCCGGAAAAUCAAGGCUGAGGCGUGAUGACGAGGCACUACGGUGCUGAAGCAACAAAUGCCCUGCUUCCAGGAAAAGCCUCUAAGCAUCAGGUAACAUCAAAUCGUACCCCAAACCGACACAGGUGGUCAGGUAGAGAAUACCAAGGCGCUUGAGAGAACUCGGGUGAAGGAACUAGGCAAAAUGGUGCCGUAACUUCGGGAGAA